rnacentral:rRNA from 1 species
UGGGGAAUAUUGCACAAUGGGCGCAAGCCUGAUGCAGCCAUGCCGCGUGUAUGAAGAAGGCCUUCGGGUUGUAAAGUACUUUCAGCGGGGAGGAAGGUGUUGAGGUUAAUAACCUCAGCAAUUGACGUUACCCGCAGAAGAAGCACCGGCUAACUCCGUGCCAGCAGCCGCGGUAAUACGGAGGGUGCAAGCGUUAAUCGGAAUUACUGGGCGUAAAGCGCACGCAGGCGGGCUGUCAAGUCGGAUGUGAAAUCCCCGGGCUCAACCUGGGAACUGCAUUCGAAACUGGCAGGCUAGAGUCUUGUAGAGGGGGGUAGAAUUCCAGGUGUAGCGGUGAAAUGCGUAGAGAUCUGGAGGAAUACCGGUGGCGAAGGCGGCCCCCUGGACAAAGACUGACGCUCAGGUGCGAAAGCGUGGGGAGCAAACA